UCUUCAGGUUAUAUGCAUUAUUUUGCCCUACUGGCUUUACUAGACUGUACAGUAAACAUGUGAAAAGAGAAUUUAGAUUAGGGAAAGCCAUUCUGUCUGGUGUAUGUGCUGUGACAGUGCAGUCAGGACUGAUGUACACUCUUUAGCUUACACUUGCACUUGAUUUAUUGGACGUCACUUGCAAUUAUUAGUCCAUAAGAAUCCCAACUUUUAUGUUAUGAAGGUGACCAUCUAUCUAAAGACAAGUCCUGGUAUGUUAAAUACAUUGACUGUUCUUUGAAGGCUUCACACAUAAGUGCAGAUGCAGAUGAGUCACAUUGUUGUCUGUCAUUUGGGUGUUGCCAUGUGUUAAUCUGUGGCGCUUUCAUGGAACUCAUGCAGCCAAUAAACGACGCUUUCACUUUACGCCCUCAGCAUAUUCAACUGUCACUAUAUUUGUUAUUAAGUUGUAAAAAUCACAGUUUCCCAGGUUCUAAACUAGGUCAAAUUAUUCUUGCAAAAAGUUUGACCAUUUCUGAGCUGAAGUAAUUCAAAUUAUUUUAGUGAGUAUAGAGUAUAAAAACACAGUGGAGCACUUCCUGUUUUACCACAUGACAUUACAAAGUGUUUUCUAUUUGGGAAAAGAACACAGCCUACCAUAUUUUCCCAAGAAGGUCUGGCUGCAGACACAUGGGGAAAGUGGAGCUCCACUCCAGACCGGAAACACGUGACCUCCACCGAAGACGUCAUCUCUACUUUUAUGUAGACCUAUGGGGGGACGAAACGAUUUAUUUUGACCGCAAUUAAAUGUUUAUUAAAUAAGAUUGUUUUUACGUUAUGGAAUUUGUUCGCACAUACAAACACAGAGCAAAACGACCAUCUGGAAGACGGAGAAAACAUGGGUAAAGAAGCCCACGGAGUGAUUUAAUGAAGCUACGAGGAGAAAACUUGUAAACACUUGGCCAGUAUAAGUGUAAGUGCGCUUCCUGUAUGAGAACACAACACACUGCUGGGGCCACAGAAAUGUUGGCUGAUGAGACGCUCAUGAUUCAUGAAAUGGGUCAAAUGCAGAUGACAAAGAAAAGUCAACAGCAGGAGGUGCUGACCCAGACUUCUGCCUCUGUUUAGGUUUUCACUCUGCAGACAGAAAUUUCAACCAGUCAGACUUAAGGCCCAUUCUGCUCUUCCUCCUCCAGAAAACGAGAGAUAUGUCAGACUGAAUGAUCCAAGUACACUGGGUCAUGUCUCCACUGUCCAUGUCCAGACUCACAGAGGAGGAGGAGGAGGUCCAGACUGUAGACCUGUGGGGCCUCUGGUUGCAUCAGGCCUUCCUCCUGCACAUUCUGUUUGCUGCUGUUCCUAAUGUGUCCUAAUAGAGAUGUGUCCAUAAAGAUUAGGUUUAACGUUUUAUUUCCUCCAGAAGUGAAACAGUAAAAUGGUGGUUUCUGUUCGUCUUAGCUGAAGAGCACCUAAACAGCUUUAUCACUGAGGAAGUGUCCCAUGAUAAAUGUGGCCUUAUAUGAUCUUAACAAGUGUA